UUAACGUGUCGUAUACGUGAUUUUGAUACUUAUUAAUUGUAAUUGACGUAAUUGACAAGAUUGAGCUGAGCAUUGGGUGAAAAUAACUUGCAGAGCAUCCGAGAAGCUUGCAGCAUCAGUGAGAAUGAAUUUCAAGUACUGUUUGCUGCUGUUAUCACUGCUGCUAGUCGGCGCUAGCGCUAAACCGCGUGCAGAUCCGCCUUGCUGGACGUGGCCCGACGAGCCACUACCUCCCUGCGCCCAAGGAUAAAGCUGAUGUGGGAAAAUAUACUGUAAUCGACUGCUCGCUACUCCCCACCAAGAGCCAAAAUGUGUUGGGAGUCGUUUACUUUCUUGUAAUCAUCUCGUACCAUUUGCAAAAACAAUUAAACUUCCAUAAAGUAUACAAAUAAGUUUCUUUCUGGUAAUCCUUUAAUGCUCAUGUGGCUGCGAACCUUUCAGUAAUUAGUACGGUUUUUUAUUUCCAUCGCAAAACACACAUAAAGAGCGCGAGGUUUCAUUGCCUGCGGAUUGAAAUAAACUAUUGAGUUUAGAGUUGCGUUUAGGGUCAGCA